rnacentral:tRNA from 1 species
GCCUGGGUGGCUAAGUCAGUUAAGCAUCUGACUUCGGCCCAGGUUGUGAUCUCAUGGUUGUGGGUUCGAGCCCUACAUCAGGCU